CAGAGAAGUUUGCAGGAGGCGUUCCGUGUCACGGGACACAUCACAGACUCCUGCUUGACGGGAUGUGAAAAGGAGUGAGAAGUGCCAGUGUGAUCACUUGGACUUGGAUCUUCCUGAGAGUGUCUCCCUCCAGAAAGACACAGAUGCCAUGCAAAGGGGUCCCUGCUGCCUGAGGCCAACCGGCAAAGAGACUUCGUGAUGAAUUUCAGCGUCUACUGAAGAUGACAAACAAGGACCUAGCAACACAUUCUUUUGGCAUUUGUCUUGUUGACAGAUUGUGCCUCUGUGACAUCAAACAGCUGGAUAAACAUUUUAAAAGAUGCCCAGGGAGCGAUUUCAGUUAUCUGGUGUCAAAAAGACCACCAUCAGACAGCCGUCUUAUUCUCUUUCCUAACUUCUCAUCCCAGGACCUGGUAGACCUAAGUAAUCACACUGAUCCUCCCACAACAUCCUCCUUCAUUCACUUGUUUCUACAAAAAUGAGGAGAGAUUUGGAUUUAUUGAUCAUCAAUCAAGAAUCACAUUGAGUCAUUUCAGCUCCGAUUCCGUUGAUUUUACUCAGUAAAACUUAACGACACCAAUAAAGCAUUCAGAGUCAGCCGGAACAGCAACUUAUCUGAACAACCACGGGCCAUUACACACCAAAGGAAAAUAUCUACUAGAACUUCUCAUUCCCGUUAGAGAAUGAAUAAAAAUGAUGGGGAAUGGCCGUAUUUCGGUCGUUAACCCACAAUUAAACAUGGCUCAACAUCACAGAAAAGCCUCCACGCUUGCUGGAUCUGAAUCGUUCAUCUCUUUCCCCUCUGCCUGCCACCCUGGGCUUCUCUUGCAGUGGCCUGUACCCCAAGCGACCCAAAUGCAAUGCUUGUCACAAACUUGGAUGAGUUGUUAUCUGUCAAAAUGCUCUCAGCUAGGACUGAAAUCCGUCCAUCACUAACAGUCUGAACUUGGUCCAGGAUGGACACUUUAAAGGCUGCUUUUCCUUUAAACAAACAAAUAAAUAUUUAAAUAAUUUAAAAGGCAUUUUCAAAGCAGAUCAGCCUUUUCUUGAGGAGGUCACCCUCAGCAGAAAAGAAUGAAGAAACAGCCUGGUUUACUCAGUCCACCAAAAUUUUUUGAGGAACUCCUGGUGCCUGGCACUGUUUUGGGUUCGACCAUGAAUAAGAAAAAGAGAGUCCUGCUCUCUUACCACACAUGUUGGAAAGGAGAGAGACAGGUGGGCAUGAACCAGAAGAACCCAGGACCAGGGGUGAGGAAGCCUCCACCUUUGCCAUCACUCUACCAACAAGCAGCUUUGGAGGAUUCACAUUCAACAAAGACUCAGAAUUUAAGAGGCACUAAGGAAAAGAAGUUCAACCACAGCUUCUUCAGAGCUUUGCAGUCCACCUGGUCAGAUAACGUCAACAUACUUGGUCCAAGGUGCCCAUCCUUGGUUUUACAUCAACAUAAAAUCUCCUUGAUUUUUCCAUCUUGUCACUGAAAUUUGGGCUCUAAGUUACCUGUUGAGUCAACUUCACAAAAGAUAAUAAAGGCAUCAAAUCGA